ACAAAUCCGGUGCUUCAAGAAGUUACACAUGUGCACACACCCACGUACAUGCGAGUGCACACACACAUGCCCAGGCAUCUGUAGAAUUCACUGGCAAGGGCUUGGGUCUCCUUGUCAUCCAGCUCCUCGGAAUCUUGCCUCUUGUGAGGGCUUCUCUGGUUGCCUUCCUCUAUCGUGGUCCAGUGGCCAUGGGCUCUCAAAGAGGAAGGUGACAAACCCUUUUGGUUUCUGCUACUUUUUGUAAAGAUCUGACCACCAUUUGCUGUCUUGUGAGAGAGACAAGCUCCGUAGUUCCCAUGCUGUGGUUUCCAAGUGGAAUUUGGAAUUUGGACAAGUCAUAAUCACUGAAGAAUUUCUGAGGACCAUGGCAAGCAUCACCGAGAUAAGCCUUAAGCAAUUUCUAAGUAUUGGUAGAUUUCAGCUCAUUUAUCAUCACAGUCAGUAUUUGUAAAGCUGAUUUUCUUAUGAGAUCAAGGUACAGAACUUUCUAGAAUAAUGGGGAUGCUGUAUCUACACACAUAGGGAAAACCCUUGGAGCCAUCUUGAAAAUACCGUGUCCAUCAGCCUGGAACAGCACUGACUGGCCAGGGGACAGCAGAGGAAGCCUCCUGAUUCCAAGAAUUGCUAGGAGACAGAGAGAGAGAAAGAAAAUGCACCAACUAGUAAAUGCUCCAUAUUCCAAGUCUAUUAAUAAAAAUUAAGUACUUAGGGUAGAGUUAUGUUUCAAGUUGAACUAGACUAGGUCUCAAUGUCAAACCAUUGAAACAUCUCACAAGCCUUUGAAAGCAUUUGGAUCUAUCUGGCCAUAUACUCCCUGUGGCAAAAUAUGGGUCACAAAAACUAAGCAUCUUUCAUUUUAAAAAUAGAAAUAUACUGAUGCAUGAAUGUAUUGCUUAAAAUCUA